rnacentral:lncRNA from 1 species
UGGCUCCAGGGCUUCGGGGACCCUCACUCUGAGUGCUUCUGCUGUUACUGGCAGGAUACAGAGAAAAGAGGUCUUCCCUUCUCCUUACCAGAAUUGUUUGAGCUCUGAGAAGCAGUUUCCCCUGCGAGCCCCUCGCUCUCGGGCCAAGCCGCUCAAAUACCUGCGGCUUUGCCGCUGCGUGGGAGCCCGCGUGGGUUUUUCUCGGCUGUCGCUUCUUCAUUCCCCUAGCUCCGUCCGGAUACCUGCAUGGCUGCGGAGCACCCAAAGAGCCAAACAGGGAGACGUGCUGCUCUGAACUUCCCAUGACCUCCUCUGCACCGCGC